CCUACGGGGGUCAGCAGUGGGGAAUAUUGUGCAAUGGGCGCAAGCCUGACCCAGCAAUGCCGCGUGAAGGCAGAAGGCUUUCGGGUUGUAAACUUCUUUGACAGUGGCAGAGCAGAAGACGGUACCCUGAAAACAAGCCACGGCUAACUACGUGCCAGCAGCCGCGGUAAUACGUAGGUGGCAAGCGUUGUCCGGAUUUACUGGGUGUAAAGGGCGUGUAGCCGGGAAGGCAAGUCAGUUGUGAAAUCUGGAGGCUCAACCUCCAAAGUGCAUUUGAAACUGUGUUUCUUGAGUACUGGAGAGGCAGACGGAAUUCCUUGUGUAGCGGUGAAAUGCGUAGAUAUAAGGAGGAACACCAGUGGCGAAGGCGGAUUGCUGGACAGUAACUGACGCUGAGGCGCGAAAGCGUGGGGAGCAAACGGGAUUAGAUACCCGAGUAGUC
rnacentral:rRNA from 1 species